UUUUGAAUGUUUGAACCUGCAUCCUCAUGAGGUUACACGUUAGUAUACUUUCCUGUUAGGAAAAAUGUCUCAGUCAAGAAAUCCACGUAUGAGCUAAUUCAGACAAAAAUUCAAAUGUUCCAGUUCGAUUGAGAAAGAACCGUUCAAAAGGAGUUUGUUUGUCGAAAAAAAUCAUAAGCGAUACAAAAAAUCAAUUGAGUUUCAAUGUACUGCAAGAUUUGCGCUAUGAAAGGGAUGAUGGUCAAACGCAUGAUCCUUCGAACAUGUCUAAAACUGGCAAAGACCGAACUUUAAACUACUCCAUGGAACCGUUUAUUUUCGAUCACUUGGAGACAAUGUCUGAACCAGUAAGAAAUAGUGAUUUUGACUUAUCAUUCGAAAACUCGGUCUAUGAUGACCAAGAAUAUCAGACUGAGAGUGACGAGGAUGAUACGCAUACGGAAUUCCAAUCGGAAAGAAUAUUUUAACCCUGCGCUUUCCAUCACUAAACAAGAAGUGAUGUUUCUUUUACUUAAUAUUUUCACUCGCCAUAAACUAACCAACGCUGCCUUGGAAGAUUUAUUGCGGUUUUUAAAUCUGAUCGUGAACACAAAAGUGCUUCCGGAGUCUUUUCGUCAAUUUUACCUUUUUUUUUGGUGAAAACAGUUAUGCACGUCAGUUUAUUUGCACUGAUUGCAAAUUGUUUAUUGGAGAAGAAAAACAAAAGUGUCAAAACUGUGGCAGUGGAGCAUUUUCAUUUUUUAUUACGUUUGAUUUGGUUUACAAGCUUAAGCAAGUAUUGUUGCGUAAUUGGAGAAGCUUAAGCGAUGGUUGUCCGACUUUUCCUAGAAAACCAUUCCCCAGAAAAUAAAGAAGGAUUUUCCCCAGAAUGAACCAUUCUCCAGAAUACCAAAUCCCAAAAUGUACUAAUCACCAGAAUACCAAACCCCCGAAAGUACUGGUUACCAGAAAACCGUUCCCCAGAAUGCACCAAUGCCCAGAAAACAAUUUUCCAGAAUUACCGUGACCAGAAAAAAAAGUAUUUGUUCACAUCUUAAUUAUUUGAAAAUUUUAAUGAUGACAAAGUGUUGUUUAAUAAUAAUAUAAUAAUGAUAAUAUAAUACAACUAAUAAUAAUAUAAUAACUACUAAAAAUAUUAAUAUA